rnacentral:pre_miRNA from 1 species
AAAAAACAAUGUUUGCCACUUCUUUAUUUUAUUGAUGCAUUUAUGUCUUUAUUGUUGAUGUCAAAAAUUUAUCGAUCAGCGGUUGCAUUGAAAAUUUAGCUUGAAGUUAUAUAUAUAUUGAUAUACUUGUGGUACAAUUAUGAACCCCCUCCAU